UGCAUAGAAUGGGAUAGACGUUCCAUCAACAUAUUGAAUGUCCCAUCUACUGAUGGUGACAUAUAGCAGAUUUACAGCUAUGAGACUUUGGUAAAUUUUGGGAUCUACAGCUGAAGUGUUAGUUUCCUUGGUGAGCUUGAGUUGGGGUUCAUGGAUAUAUCUAGUGGUUUACAAUAUGUGAGAUUGAAUCUUUCUAGCAGCUUUGUGAUGUAUUUUUGUUGAUGAAAAUAGAUCUCUUGCUUGUAAUAGUGUAAUUCUACCCCUAGAUACAUGCGAGCAUCUCCCAGGACAUGUUUGGAUCUUCUUGACUCCUGUGAAGGCCCAGUUUCUAGUGUCUUCUGGCUGCUAGGGCUAUCAAGCAUCGAAUGUGGAUCAUCGAACUACUGGAGCAAAUGUUUUGAAAUAAUCCAAGCCAUCUUCCUGUUCGAAACCUCGUGCGACGAUUCGUGCUUUCAGUUUUUCAGGUUUGUCUGUGGUUCCUAAUUUGGUUUUAAAUAUCCAUUUGGCUAAGAUGGGUGUGCGCCCAGCGAGUAAAUCCACAAGUUUCUAUGUUUGUUUUUUUCGAAUGGAAUGUAUCUCCUGGUUUAUUGCGUCUCUCUAGCCUGGUGUCUGAAUUGCAUCGUUGUAGCUUUGAGGCUUUAAAUCCAGUUCUGCCGCAAAAGUAAAAUUGUUGCGGUAGUAUCUUGAGCUUGUUUUUCUAUUCCUGAUUAGAUACCUGCGAGGUGGUUGUGCUACGGUUUCUAUUUGUUGUGAUACGUCGAUGUAUGGUUCCAAUUUGGGCUACUUUUGGGUGUCGUAUGUGAGCGGGUAGUUAUUGCUUCUGUCGGGGUUCGGCGGCGAUAUCGGUGGAGCAGAAGUUCUGCGGUGCGACCUCGGAGUCGGGACUCAUUGCGGUGAUGUCGGCAAGUUUACUAUUUUUGGAAUAAGGCUGCAGUCUGUGUUAUGAUUGGGAUUGAAUACAGGUUGACCCAGGUGAGGUUCUAUGAUUUCUCAGCUGUCCAGUUCUGUCGGGACUUGGGGCAUUCGUUCAGCAGGUAGGAUCUGCGAUCCGGGUCCUAGGAGUGAGUCGCUGGUCGCUGUCUGUUUAGCAGGUUCGAUCUGCGAUGGGGUUUGGGGAAGACGAAAGUUUUGCUUGGGGUAGAGUGCUUGGUGUGAGCAUGCCCGUACCCAACUUUUGUCUCAUCGAAGACGACGUCCCUGCUUAGACGGAUUUUCCUGUGAGCAGGAUCAAACACCUUGUAAAGUUUACUUUCUGUGUUGUAUCCCAAGAAGAAGCACCUAAUCGUCUUGCUUUCCAAUUCCGUCCUCUGUUCUUUUGGGACAUGAAGGUAUGCCAGUGGAGCCAAGAUCUUAAGGAAAUAUACUCUAGGUUUAAUUCUAGUGUACCAUUCUUUAGGUUUUACCCGGUAAUUAGCACAAGUGGGGCUCAAGUUGAUGAGGAGGUUUGCUAUAUUGACUAAUUCAGUCCAUAGAAAGCCUGGACAAUUGCUGGUGGCGGCCAUUGAUCUGGCCCUUUUUAUGAUUGUUCGAUUCUUGCGUUUGCUGAGGAGUGCGAGCCAUUGUGAGCUCACGUUUGAUCCCGUAAGUUCUGAGGUAUGCAGUAAAAUCUGUUGAUAAGUAUUCCCCUCCUCUGUCCGUCCUGAGGCAGAGGGUUUUCAUGUUUGUUUCUUUUUCUACUCUUGUUCUGAAUUCCUUCAAUUUUGUCAAGGUUUCUAAUUUGUGUUUCAUAAAGUAUAACCAGGUUUUACGGGAGUAAUCAUUCGCAAAAGCAACAUAAUAUUGUGAACCACUCAGUGAUGGAGUUCUAAUAGGUCCGACUAAGUCUUAAUGAAUAAGUUGCAGUAGCUUGUUUGAGCGAUGCGAAGAUGAUUUUGGGAAGCGCUCCCGAUGCUGGCGGCCAGCAAAGCAAUCGUGACAUAUCUCCUUUGUGAUUAGAAGUUGAAGCAGCGUUUGUCUGUGAACAAGAUGAUGUGUCCAGUAUCUGCCGAAGCUCCAACAGACAUCAGAUUUUGCUUUAACGCAGGAACACAUAAAACGUUGCUCAAAUUUAUUGUUCCAGAAUGUGUGGCAGCACUGGAUGAGCCUAUGGCAUCGACUCGAUGAGAUUUGUCAUCUGCCGUUUUGACACUCUUAUCCAAGUGUCGUUGUUCUAUAACAUAAAACUUCCCUCUCUCUUUUCUAAAAUGGUGACUAGCGCCUGAAUCCAUGUACCAAUUCUGGUUAUGAUAGUUGAUAAGAUUGGCUUCUGCUGAUAAUUCUGCUUGAUCAACAUAACCAUCACCUUUGACAUAGUAGGCUGUACUAAAAUCCUGGCUAUUAGAGUCGGCGGGAUCUUUAUGUUGGGACACGGCUCCUAUCAGGUUGUCUCCCACCGACAUCGUUAUUCCAGACUGCGCCCUUUGCUUUGAGUCUCUGUCGGACCUCUGUGGACUGUAUCCCUCCUAUAGUCGCCGGAAACUGGCUCGGGGGAUUCUUUGUCUCUACGAGUACCCAGAGAUUCUCACGUUUGAGAACCGUCUUCACCUUGAGGCUCCACACAUUGUAGUUCUGUGGACCAAGUAACUUGUUGGUUUCUCCUACCUCGCAGUUUGAGGUCUUUUCUCACCUUGAGGCUCCACACGUUGUAGUUCUGUGGACCAAGUAACUUGUUGGUUUCUCCUACCUCGCAGUUUGAGGUCUUUUCUCUAGCGUCUGCCAUUGCUAGUGAACUAGCUAUCGGUUAUGAGAGCUUUCUAUUUCGUGUCUGCUCUGUACUCUAGUACAAGGGAGCAGUGCUCACCUUGGCAACUAACUACCAAAGAGCGUUUCGCUCUGAUACCAUGUUGACAUCUGCACUCGUAACAUACUCUGUGUACUCAACAGUGAAAGAGGGAGUUGUAUUUGAUAUCAAAGGUGUAUAUAUGCAUUACAGGCUUGGGGCUCUGAGCAAGACUAUUGGGUGAGGUGAUACUAAUUUAAGUAUCAUGACGUGUCAGGAUGACGUCAUCAAGGAAGGUGCUGGAUUGAUUCACCAACAUGGGAGUAGGGCGCAACCAUCAAUUGAUGAGUACAAAAAAGGAAGUCUCAGCAACAAGGAAGAGAUGCAUACCCUGGGAUCACGAUAAAGAUCACUGAGAUUUUCGAAACCAAUCUUAUGUGCAACAUCGCCAGCUUGGUCUAUUUGUUCCAUCGUUCCCUCCAAAGGAAUAUUCAGGAGCUGCGAACAAAAAAUCGAUCAGAAUCUCCACAUGGUAAUCACUCUUGCACGAAAGUAUCUUAACACAAGUCGACCCUGAGUUUUAUAUCCACGGUGGUUGAUAAAACCUGGAACGCAUGUCAUUGUCGUAAACUCAUAAGACGCUACUUGCAUCAUGUCCUAAUGGAGGGCUACACGUUGAGAUCAAUGAUGGUGUUCAAAUGAAAUAAUCUACACCCCAAAUUAAUCACAUCUCCCAAGUUGUUACGA